UACGUAGGGCGCAAGCGUUGUCCGGAAUUAUUGGGCGUAAAGCGUGCGUAGGCGGCCUGAUAAGUCGGGUGUGAAAGCCCUGGGCUCAACCCAGGAAGUGCACUCGAAACUGUCAGGCUUGAAUAUGGAAGAGGGUCGCGGAAUUCCCGGUGUAGCGGUGAAAUGCGCAGAUAUCAGGAGGAACACCAAUUGCGAAGGCAGCUCGCUGGGACGUUACUGACGCUGAGACGCGAAAGCGUGGGGAGCAAGCAGG
rnacentral:rRNA from 1 species